rnacentral:lncRNA from 1 species
CUCCAGCCUGGGCAACGAGAGUGAAACUCCGUCUAGAAAAAAGAAAAGUUACUCCUCCCUGAGAAUGGAAUGUUUCCCCAGUGUGUCCCCAGGAGAGGAGGUCCUGGGCCAUGGGGAUGCACACCCGACCCUCUCCUGGCACGGAUGUAACCACAUCGUGGGAGCCCUGGGAGCACUCACCCCAGGAACCCUACAUGUCGCCUGCCUGCGCCGCAGUGUAGCUUCUUCCUUCUGUCUCCUUUGCCGUGUCACUCACUCCCCAGCCACGGUCAGGGAUGCUGCUUUGCUCCCAGUAACUUUGUUUUCCUCAUAGAAGCUUCAGUAUAUCCCCUUUUUCAGACCAUCUAGUGAAGAGUCCCAGUAUAGAAGCCAGGCAGGAGACAGCUGGUGUUCCGAACUCCACCCUGCCCUGUGGCGCCGGACUGGGAGUAAAGCUCACCUCCUGCUUUUCCUCAAACCAGUCCAUUAUUCUGCCUGUGAGAAAAGCAUGCUGCAAAGGAACACCACAGACCUGCCUUAAGAGCUUGUGUAUUUCAGUCCUGCGAAUGAUAGGAAAUAUUGUCAUGAGUUUGCUGGUCUCUUCAGUUCCUCCGGGAUCAAGCAGGCACUUGGGAAUCACAGUCACUUGGCUGCCCAGGUUCAUUUUUUAUACCAUCAUCGUUCAUCUGUCCAGUUCAUGACCCUGUCCAGGGGCAACCCCAACAAUGCCCUUGCCGUAACAGCUCUGUAAAGGAAGUACUACCGUAUCCCCAAGAUAAGAGACCAGAAAACUAAAGCACAAAAUGCUAUAUUCAACAUAAAAUCGACCAGGCGUGGUAGCUCACACCUGUAGUCCCAACACUUUGGGAGGCCAGGGCAGGUGGAUCACUUGAGGUCAGGAG